AAUACAGAACAGAGAA
rnacentral:sRNA from 1 species